ensembl:lncRNA
CGCGCGUCCAAAGCGGAGCGCAGCGGAUGGAGGGCACGGGAGCAAAGGGCGAUGGGCGGAGGAGAGCGGGGGGGGACGGGGGGGGACGGAGGGGGGCGGGGAUCGCGCAGCGCUCGGCCCUUCGGCGGCCCUUCGGCGGCCCUUCGGACAUCGGAGGAACGGCUUCGGGAUCGCGCAACGCAAACGGGAGCUGCGGAGGGGGUCGGGAACGCCCACAGCUCCGUGGGCUGCAGCCGCUGCUCAGCGGGGUACAGCGCGCCGUUAAUGGGAUCGUCCUGGAAUCCUAAAAUCGCCAGGGUUGGAAAAGCCCUCCGAGGUCAUCCGGCGCAGCCGCCCACCCAUCACCACCGGGCGCACCCCGCAGCUCAGUGGGGUGCAGCCCCCCACCCCCCCCCCACGGCUCGUUGGGGUGCGCCUCACAGCCAACUGGGGUACACUCCUACAGCUCACCGGGGUACACCCUGAGGCUCAUUGGGGUACACCCCGCAGCUCAUUGGGGUACGCCCCACAGCUAAUAAAAGUACACCCCGCAGCUCAUUGGGGUACACCUUACAGCUAACGGGUACAGCCUGCAGCUCAUUGGGGUACAACGGGGAGCUAACUGGGGUGCAACCCACGGCUAAAUGGGGUACACCCUGACAACUAACCAGGGUACAGCCUGCAGCUCAUUGGGGUACACCCCACUAAUAGAGGUACACCCCGCAGCUCAUUGGGGUACACCUUACAGCCCAUUAGGGUGCACUCACAGCCCAUUGGGGUACACCCACAGCCCAUUGGGGUACACCUUACAGCCCAUUCGGGUACACUGCACAGCCCAUUGGGGUGCACUCACAGCCAAUAGGGGUGCACCCCAUAGCUAAUAGAGGUACACCCACAGCUCAUUGGGGUACACCCACAGCCCAUUGGGGUACACUCACAGCCCAUUGGGGUGCACCCACAGCCCAUAGGGGUGCACCCCAUAGCUAAUAGAGGUUCACUCACAGCCCAUAGGGGUGCACUCACAGCUCACUGGGGUACACCCACAGCCUAUUGGGGUACACCCACAGCCCAUUGCGGUGCACUCACAGCUCACUGGGGUACACCCACAGCUAAUAGGGGUGCACUCACAGCCCAUUGGGGUAUACUCACAGCCAAUAGGGGUACACCCACAGCCCAUUGGGGUGCACUCACAGCCAAUAGGGGUCCACCCACAGCCCAUUGGGGUGCACUCACAGCUAAUAGGGGAACACCCACAGCCCAUUGGGGUGCACUCACAGCCCAUAGGAGUGCACUCACAGCCCAUAGGGGUGCACCCACAGCUCAUUGGGGUCCACCCACAGCCCAUUGGGGUGCACCCACAGCCCAUAGGAGUGCACUCACAGCCAAUAGGGGUACACCCACAGCCCAUAGGAGUACACUCACAGCCCAUAGGGGUGCACCCACAGCCCAUAUGGGCACACGUCACCGCGGAGCAGAGCGUGGCUGUGCCACCCGUGGGACAAACAGAGCCACGUGAGGAGCAAAGGACAAUGAGGGCACAACCGCAGCCCUUCCUCCUCCUGGGGGGGUGGGGGUGCGGGGGGGGUGUGUGGGGGGGGGGGGGAGCCCCGAAGACCCCCAUUUCGCCACUCUCCCCCUCUCGGUUUGCUUUGUGAGAGCCGAAGCAUCGCCGUCACACAUCGGUCCUUCCU